CAGCCUGGAUAGCUCAGUUGGUUAGAGCAUAGUGCUGAUAAUGACAAGGUUGCAGGUUCAAUCCCCGUUUGGCUGA
rnacentral:tRNA from 1 species